CAGUCGCCGCGGUAAUACCGAGGGUGCAAGCGUUAAUCGGAAUUACUGGGCGUAAAGCGUGCGUAGGCGGCUUUUUAAGUCGGAUGUGAAAUCCCUGAGCUUAACUUAGGAAUUGCAUUCGAUACUGGGAAGCUAGAGUAUGGGAGAGGAUGGUAGAAUUCCAGGUGUAGCGGUGAAAUGCGUAGAGAUCUGGAGGAAUACCGAUGGCGAAGGCAGCCAUCUGGCCUAAUACUGACGCUGAGGUACGAAAGCAUGGGGAGCAAACAGGAUUAGAUACCCCAGUAGUCCCUGUCUCUUAUAU
rnacentral:rRNA from 1 species